AGGGCUUGAGGGGAGGGGAGAUGGGAAAAGAGGCGGGAUGUACCAUGUACAGGUGCAAAUUCCCCACGAUGAGUGUAUCAUAACGUAUGUCUAAAAUGUAAAUGUUUUGCUAUUAAAAAAAAUCCUGUGUUGAAUCCCUGCCCUGUAAUGUGAUGGUGUCUAGAGAUGGAGUUUUGAGAGUUCAUUAAAUUAGAUGAUGUCAUGAGGGUGGGGUCUUUGUGAGGUGAUUAGUGUCCUAAGAAGAAGAGACAUCAGAAAGCUUGCGCUCCAUCUCACUCCAUGUGAGCACGGUGAGGAGAUGACAGUCUCUAAGCCAUGAAGAGAGUCCUCAUGAGGAACCAGUUGGCUGGGUCCUUCACCUUGGGCUUCCCAAGCUCCAGAACUAUGGCCUGGGACAACAUUGGGAAUACAGAUGUCGGGACACGUGCGCGCACAAAGCAAUGUUCUUCCAGGUGUGGCCAAGGAGAAAUCAAGCUGGACUCAGGGCCUGCUGGUGAGCAUCCUGGGUCUCCUGCUGUAGUUGAUUUUCAUGAGGACAUUGAAGCCACAAAACCUUCACAACUAGCCGGGACUGGGAGAAACCUAUCAGAUUGCUGUUCCUACAUCAUGGGCCACAGAGCCCAGGCAAACCAGUCUACAGUAUAGAGACCAGCUGGAUUCCUCUGUGGCCCCCAUCCUCUCCAAAAGAACAAUUGUUCAUGGAAAUUAAAGCGGUGAUGAGGCUUCUCCUGACUUAAAGCGAUCAACACAUGGGAAGGCAGAGAAAAUUCCAUGUCUGCUUUUAAUAAAAUAUACUUUUCUCAUCAAAAUAUUUUGAUAGCACAGGAAAAGAGAUGUGUGCUCAUUAAAUUUUAAUGAAUGUCUAUCCCUGCCAUUUUCCAUAUGAGGAUCACACACCAUGACUCAUUCCUGGUAGGUGCUGGGAAUAGUUAAUUGGGAACAAAUUUAACCCAAACACAAUCUUCAUUGCCAUAGGGAUGAAUGGAAGCCAAAUGGAGUCCAUCAGGAGGUAAGAACAGGUAGCCACAGGCCUGGGGGCUUUGGUUGACAUGACAUGGAUUCAGAUAGGUGGGCCAAUACUGUUCUAGUUCAGCCUAUAUUUGCUUGGGGAAAAAAAGGGAGUUAGAAAAGAAGGGCUGGAUUCUAGCCUCCAGGGAUCUCCAGUUCCAAGACUGAGCUGGUGACUCCAGAGGACAAUACUUUGGGCAAAGACUUUGAAGAGAAAGAAGGGAGAACUCUUGGGAGGGCAGAAUUGAUGAUAAUUUCAUGGUAACUCUCCAUAAUUGCCACAGAAGCCUCUUUGUCCACAGAGUCAAUUACAAAGCUCUCAUCCAUGAAGUUUAGACCCACUUCAAAGUGGCCCUAAGCCACCUUGCUGAGGUUAUCCCUCACUCAUGCCCAGCUACCAACCUCUACUCCUGCCAAGGUGGACUUCCUGCUACUCCCUACACCUGCUGUCUACUUCGCUGGCCCUUGCUUGAUUUUCUCUAGCAUCUGUCAUGGUCUCUCCACCUAUAUCUACUGGCUGAAUGUUUUCUACUCAUUGAGGAUCAUGUCUCCUUUGAUAUCCUUAAUUCUUGAUGCUCCAUUCCACUUGAGCUCAUAUGACCUCUCCACCCUUGCAACACUCAAGCCCUUUUGUUACAAGUCACCACCUCUGCUUUCUGUGAGGCCUGCAGCAUGACAGCAGUGCAGCCUCAUGGUCACCUGAGCAUUCUUCUGAGUCAGAAUGAGCUGCUUUGGAAGCUUCCCCCUUCCCUUAUGAGGUGCGUAAUUAUGGGCCAGUCCCUUACGAACAGAAGUAAUUGUAGUAAUAACAUCAGCCAACAUACACUGGUGUUACUGUGACUCAGGCAUUAGACAUCCGUGGGCUCACUUAAUGCCACAAGAACUCUAUAAAGUGAGUAUUUCCAUCCCCUGUGUCAUACAGAUGGGGAACAGGAUCUAAGGGGGGGGGCAGUGAUUUGGCCAGGGUUCCACAGGUAUUAUGUUGAGAAAGCAGGCUUUGUAUUUAGACAGUUGGGGUCCAGAGCCCAUGCUUUGACCACUGUGCAACAUAGCACUACACUUUCUAGGCCUCUUGAAGACAAAGGUCAGCUCAUAUGAUGGUAAUGAAUUUUAAUUCAUAGAAGAGAGAUGCUCAAUAAGACUGCUUAAUGAAUCAUAGUUGCUGUGAUUGUCAUUGCUGCAUGCUGGCCUCUACCCUCCGCCUGCCUCUAAGCUGAGGACAGAAAGCCACAUC